CGUGCACCGGUGGGGUCCCUCGGCCUGGCCUGCAACCUCUUGCAAUCCAGGACCUCUUGGGGGAUACUGGAGAGCCGGUUUCGGCCUGAUCCCGCAGGCCAGGCCGAGGGACCCCACUGGUGCACG
rnacentral:pre_miRNA from 1 species